UGAGAUUGCCUUAGAGGGAUACAUUGGAACGAAUGCUAAUACCCCAUAUGCUUUCGAGUGAAAUGGAUUUAUAUUUAUCCGCCUAGAGAGAAGCUCGCGGCUGAUUAGCUUGUUGGUAAGGUAAGAGCUUACCAAGGCGACGAUCAGUAUCUGGUUUGAGAGGACGAUCAGACACACUGGNACUGAGACACGGUCCAGACUCCUACGGGAGGCAGCAGUGGGGAAUUUUCCGCAAUGGGCGAAAGCNUGACGGAGCAAUACCGCGUGAGGGAAGACUGCCUAUGGGUUGUAAACCUCUUUUUUCAGGGAGGAAUCAAUGACGUGUACCUGAAGNAUAA
rnacentral:rRNA from 1 species